AUGCGAUAAGUAGUGUGAAUUGCAGAAUUCAGUGAAUCAUCGAAUCUUUGAACGCACAUUGCGCCCCUUGGUAUUCCAUGGGGCAUGCUUGUUCGAGCGUCAUUUGUACCCUCAAGCUUUGCUUGGUGUUGGGUGUUUUGUCCUUUCUUCGCGUUUGGACUCACCUUAAAGUUAUUGGCAGCCAGUGUAUUGGUUUGAAGCGCAGCACAAUUUGCGAUUCAGGCUGGUGAUCACUUGCGUCCAACAAGUAUUUUUAACACUUUUGACCUCGGAUCAAGUAGGGAUACCCGCUGAACUUAA
rnacentral:misc_RNA from 1 species